CUGCCCCGGGGUUGCGCGGGGUCCCGGCGCCUCUGCCGGCUGCAGACGGCUCCCGCCCCGCUCUGGUCCCGGGGACGCCCCUCCGUAGCUGCGAACAGCUGCGCGGGGCGGUGAGCCUGGGUGAGGGAGCACCUGGCAUCCUGGCGCUCCUCUGCUCGCUGUGCGCCACUCCGUCCCGCUCUGCUCCUUGCCCACUGCACCGCCUCCGGGCCUGGACGAGGAGAGCGCAGUGAGGUGUGGGCACAGAGGCAGUGGGCUUGCAUGGGAUGGGCACCCUAGAAUUCUGUCGCUUCUCAGCCUGAGAUGAGGCACCUCCCCUCUCCCUUCCAGGGCGGGCAGGUCCAGGAAGCUCCAACGCUUGGCAAACAAACCUGGGGCCCAGCUGACAGCUGGUUAUCAGAGACAGGACACAGCCGCCAGGCUGAGCCCACAGGGCGCUCUCCCCUGAAUCUUCUGCCCGCUGGGCCGAAGCUUUGGGAUCCUUGGGGAAAGGGAAAUCAGUGCCACAGCCAGCAGCAGGCCCUCUGAGAGUCCCCUCUCCUCUGGCUCUGCCCUCAGAGGUUAAGGAGGUUAAGGAGGUGGGAGGCCCGUCCACCUUCAAGUGCUGAUUGUCCAAGCCCCUUGCUGACCCCCAGCAGACCCUCCUCCAGGGCCUGACGCCCACUCCCCACCUGGGCUGCCCGGGGCUGAGUAGCAGGGACUCCCACCCAAGACGGUCUGGGAUUUGAGAAUGAAGCUGAGGUGGUCGUGGAGUCCUGUCAGUGGUGGUCCAAGAUGCCUCUCUCCCAGGGCUCGGGGGCAGCGGGUGCACACGAAGGGCAGCCCCCUGCUCUGUACUCCUCUGUCCUGAGAUGUUCCACCUGUCAUCGAGACCCUGGGCCUUCAGAGACUUGAGCCCUCGCAGCUGACCAGAGCUCAAGCAAUUAGAACAGGAAGAAGCUGCAUCUCAAGCUCCGAGGUCUGGAGAAGCACAGAUGCAAGGACGCUGCUGAGCAAAGCAUUUCCUCGAGAGGGCCUGGCAGGGCCCUGCCCGGGAGAGGCUGUGGAAAGCUGCCCUUCACUGAGUGCCACUGUGUGCCAGGCAUGUGUCAUCUUUAAAACUAUCUUGUGAGCCUGGGAACCUCCAUAUGCCUCAGUGCGACGCUAAGGACACAAAACGAAAGGAAGAGAUAGUCCCGUGCCUGUUUCUGGACCCAGACCUUACAGAUGGGCAGCGUCGUUUCUGGCUCCUGGGACACUCAUUCUUGGAGCCUCCCUGCUGGUACUAUGAGAAACCCCAAGGGCCUGCUGGAGAAGCCCAGGCGGAAGGGACCCUACCUGCCAGCCACGUGAGGGAGGAAGAAAGCCCUGGCCGACUGCACGCAGAGCAGAGGUGAGGGCUCCCCACCGAGCCCUGCCCACACCGCACACGAACAGACAUUCAGGGAUGCUUGUUACGUGGCUACAGAUAAGUAGAACGGGCCCACCGCAAGGGGGACAAAGGGGGCCGGUCUGGUGGGACAGGUCAGGAGGGUGGCUUUGGCUGGACCUGGAGAUGCCCAGACUCCCAACAGGCCAGGGCAGGUCCCUGAGGCAGGGCUUGGAGAAGAAGUGAGCCCUGGGGCCGAGGUGGAGCUAAGGAGGGAGGACUGGAAGGGCUCCCUCCAAGCCCUCACCCCUUUGGGCAGAGGGCUGGCCCUGCUGGGCUGGCGAGCGUCUACAGGCCACCAUGUCCCAAUGAAGGGAAGAAAGGAACCGCCCAGGCCCCCCCCAGCACCCCCUGAUGGUCUGGGUUCCCCAUCCCCUCAUGUCCCCGGCCUUCAGCCCCCACACUCUGCCUCUGACUAUCCUUCUGCAGGUCUGACUCCCUUGUCCUGGAUUGAUCUGUGCCAUGAGUCCCUGGACAUAAGAAUGUGUCUGAAACUUGGCUCUGCUUGGAGCCCCCUCCUCCAGGCAGACGCCCCUGGCUGCUCCCACCCCCCCUGCGCUUGCUCUGCAGACAUUCACAGGACAUUCGCACUUGCUCUCCAGUGGCUCCCGGGGCCGGGCUGGGGGCCGGGGGGUUGGGGGACAGCCCUGCCUCCACACCAGCCUGCGAGCUUCCUGAGGACAGCGCCCAUGCCCCUCUCCUGCCCUCACCAAUCAGCUAGGCUGGACAUCAGGGUCCUCCUCCCUCCCCAGGGGGCAGUGGCAGGGCCCUCGAAGCUUGUGCCCCUGGAGCAGCUCCCAAGAAGACAGUCCUAUGAAUGCAGCCAUCGGUGACUUCAGGGCGAGGGACCCUGGCUGGGACGGGUGCCAGAGGGCAGAGGCCCCAGCUGGGUCCCUGGCUGGCCAGGUGGCCCCGGGUGCCUGGCGCACACUGUCUGGGCCCGCUCCCCUCUCUGGGAAAGGAGGGGGCGGAGGAGCUGGUCUCCGAGGUCCCUUCCAGCUCAAACACCUUAUGUUCUAUGAAAUCCGCGUGAACGUUGCCAUGGAGACGUCACAGAGGAACUGCAGCAGCACAGAAUGUGACUUCCUUUGAGUCACCUGAGGAAGUGGCUCGUGUCAGAGAAGCCCUCCCCCCACCGCCCCCAGAAGCCUGGGUGCACAGGGCCACACCGAGGGUCCUGCUCCCAAGAGGACACCAUCACCUCCCUCCCUUUCCCUCCCGUGGUGCUGAGGCCCCGCAGGGAGCGAGGGGUGGGUGUCCAUCCCUGCCCGAGGGGACAAGGACCACCGUGGGAGGGCCGGAGCCCAGGGCUCUGCCCUUGCAGGUGGGCUUGCAAGGCCUGCCCUCUGGCCCUGCUUCCCACAGCUGCUUGGGUCCUCACACCCAAGGACCCCAGGAGGCCUCAGGACCCAAAAAUGUGCCCGCUGCAGAGUGGAGGCCUCCCUCUUCCCCAGACUCUGCAUUGAGGCCCCUGGUGGCAGGGACCCCUGGGCUCGGGCACGCAACACCCCCAGCUGCCUCACGGCUCCUGAGGGCCACGCGGGGCCUCGUGGCAGGGGAGGCACGAGUGGAAAGGAAGAAAAUGAGCCCCAGGGUAACCAUCACAACCACUGAUGCCUGAGCACUGGUGGCCCCUGGAGCAGACCAAGGGCUUCGUGGGCGUGGCCUCUUCUUCUUUUUGCUUAAUUAUAGAAAUGUGUUUUGCAGGUAUGUCAACGACACGAAAGGAAAAGGCAUGGAUAAAGUCCUCGUUCUGCCAGAUCCUGUCCUUCAGGAGUGGCCACUCUGAGGUUUGGUCGUGGCUCCUGGGUGAGUUUCCCAUCACCGCUGUGACAAAUUUCCACAAACUCGGUGGCACAAAGCAACUCGAGUUUCUCAUUCUACUCUUGGGAGGCUGAAAGGGGGGCUAAAGUCGAGGUGGCAGCAAGGCUGAUUAUUUCUGGGGCCCCAGGGAGAGGCCUCUUCGGCUUCUGGGGGCCACAUCAUUCCAAUUUCCAUUUCCAGAGCCACCUGGCCUUCUCUUCUGCCACCAAAUCUCCUUCUUAAAAGGAUAUGUGUGAUUACAUAUAGGGCCCUGCUGGAACAGACCAGGCUCAUCCUCCCUCUCCAGGAUGUCCAGCCCUGUCUGAGCAUCCUCUGUGAACCACUCUUCAGGUGAGCAUCCUUGGGCUAGGGUGGGUCCGCUGUGGGCGUGGCCCUACGAUGUGGCAGUGAGCAGCCAAGAGGACCCAGAGUACCUCUAGGGGGCAGUAUUUCCUAAGGCCACGUUAUUGCCCAACCAUUUCCCAAAUCUUGCCAAAAUGCCGUUACGUAAACUAGAAUUUGUUAACUGUGCAAUUCAAAUUCCCUCUUUCUUGGUUUUUUUUUAAAUUGUCUACUUGGAGUUUCUG